UGACGGUACCUGCAGAAAAAGCACCGGCUAACUACGUGCCAGCAGCCGCGGUAAUACGUAGGGUGCAAGCGUUGUCCGGAAUUAUUGGGCGUAAAGAGCUCGUAGGCGGUUUGUCGCGUCUGCUGUGAAAAUCCAAGGCUCAACCUUGGACCUGCAGUGGGUACGGGCARACUAGAGUGCGGUAGGGGAGAUGGGAAUUCCUGGUGUAGCGGUGGAAUGCGCAGAUAUCAGGAGGAACACCAAUGGCGAAGGCACAUCUCUGGGCCGUAACUGACGCUGAGGAGCGAAAGCGUGGGGAGCGAACAGGAUUAGAUACCCUGGUAGUCCACGCCGUAAACGGUGGGUGCUAGUUGUGGGCCACAUUCCACGUGGUCCGUGACGAAGUUAACACAUUAAGCACCCCGCCUGGGGAGUACGGUCGCAAGACUAAAACUCAAANGAANU
rnacentral:rRNA from 1 species